rnacentral:rRNA from 1 species
AACGAACGCUGGCGGCAGGCUUAACACAUGCAAGUCGAACGCCCCUUCGGGGGAGUGGCAGACGGGUGAGUAACGCGUGGGAACCUACCUUUCGGUACGGAACAACAGUUGGAAACGACUGCUAAUACCGUAUACGUCCUUCGGGAGAAAGAUUUAUCGCCGAUAGAGGGGCCCGCGUUGGAUUAGCUUGUUGGUGAGGUAAUGGCUCACCAAGGCGACGAUCCAUAGCUGGUCUGAGAGGAUGAUCAGCCACACUGGGACUUAGACACGGCCCAGACUCCUACGGGAGGCAGCAGUGGGGAAUUUUCCGCAAUGGGCGAAAGCCUGACGGAGCAAUCUCGCGUGAGGGAUGACUGCCUAUGGGUU